UUAGUCCAUAUGAUUAAUUAUUCCAUUCCUGCACAGGUAAAAAUAGGAAGGGGACCGUUCCUUAGAUCAUCCUACAAAUUUACUCCUUCAGUCUCCGAAUGGCUUUCAGCAACACCAGAAGUGAAAGAAAGAGCAACUGGUGAUGCAUAACCCAUCAAAAUGAUGGAUGUCAACAUUGUUUGAGCGAAAUGCUGAGACCCAGCGAAUCCCAGAGAAAACUUGUCCAUAUCGUCCUCAAUCACAUCGAAAAGCUUCCAAUUAAGCAUGAGCAGUCCAAUGCAAGUACUAGACUUACUUUUGAAAAAUUGGAAUAAAAUGCAUUGAAUAAAAUCAGUAUCGAGGAUCAA